rnacentral:ncRNA from 1 species
UUAACGGAGAGUUUGAUUCUGGCUCAGAACGAACGCUGGCGGCGUGGAUAAGACAUGCAAGUCGAACGCUAAUCAAAUUGUAGCAAUACAGUUUGGUUGGAGUGGCGCAAGGGUGCGUAACACGUGGGUAAUUUGCCAUAGAGUUGGGGAUAACUCGCUGAAAGGCGAGCUAAUACCGAA